UUGGGAUUAAAUCCGCCUGGACUCUUACUCAGGAAAGCCGAGUUGAACGAGCGCGGGAAUUCUUGAGAGGCGGGGUGUGUGAGGUUUUCACAUAUUCUGUGGCUUGGUGUUUAUAAGACCACAGUUUAUAAACUGUGAUGAGAUUUAGUUAUGUACAGUGAUAACUGAACUAUAAAAUAUAUUAGUGGUAAUAAUAUUAAGGCUGUGUGCGUGGGUGGCGACCAUACAUAUCUUAUAUCUAUGGUGGCGACAGGCGGGGGUGUUGUGCGUGUUGUUGUAGAGAC